GAUGAAGAACGUAGCGAAAUGCGAUAAGUAGUGUGAAUUGCAGAAUUCAGUGAAUCAUCGAAUCUUUGAACGCACAUUGCGCCCCUUGGUAUCCCGAGGGGCAUGCCUGUUCGAGCGUCAUUUCACCACUCAAGCCUGGCUUGGUGUUGGGCGACGUCCUCUUUGGGGACGCGCCUCGAAACGCUCGGCGGCGUGGCACCGGCUUUAAGCGUAGCAGAAUCUUUCGCUUUGGAAGUCGGGGCCCCGUCUGCCGGAAGACCUGCUCGCAAGGUUGACCUCGGAUCAGCCAGGGAUACCCGCUGAACUUAAGCAUAUCAUAAGCGGAGGA
rnacentral:misc_RNA from 1 species